rnacentral:rRNA from 1 species
GACAGAGGUGCCGAGCGUUAGGCGGAAUCACUGGGCUUAAAGCGUGUGUAGGCGGACUUCUAAGUCGGGUGUGAAAGCCCUGGGCUCAACCCAGGAAGUGCACUCGAAACUGGCAGGCUAGAGUACUGGAGAGGUUGGUGGAAUUCUCGGUGUAGAGGUGAAAUUCGUAGAUAUCGAGAGGAACACCGGUGGCGAAGGCGGCCAACUGGACAGAUACUGACGCUGAGACACGAAAGCGUGGGGAGCAAACAGG